rnacentral:pre_miRNA from 1 species
UUUGUUUGCAUGGGUUUAUCAAAGGGUUUCUUGCAGAGAUUGUUGGCAUUCUGUCCACCUCCUCCCUCUCUCUAAAAAAUGAGAGUUUUUCGAUUUUAAUGCAUCGUGAGGAGGUGGGCAUCCUGCCAACCACACUCUGUGGGCUACUCUCUGUAAAACUCAUGCAAUUGCAGG